CUUACGGGGGGCUGCAGUCGAGGAUCUUCGGCAAUGGGCGCAAGCCUGACCGAGCGACGCCGCGUGCGGGAUGAAGGCCUUCGGGUUGUAAACCGCUGUCAGAGGGGAUGAAAUGCCGGGAGGUUCUCCUUUCGGUUUGACAGAUCCUCAGAGGAAGGACGGGCUAAGUUCGUGCCAGCAGCCGCGGUAAGACGAACCGUCCAAACGUUAUUCGGAAUCACUGGGCUUAAAGGCGGCGUAGGCGGCGUGUGAAAUCCCUCGGCUCAACCGAGGAAUUGCGCUCCAAACGACCGUGCUUGAGGGAGACAGAGGUGAGUGGAACUUAGGGUGGAGCGGUGAAAUGCGUUGAUAUCCUAAGGAACACCAGUGGCGAAAGCGACUCACUGGGUCUCUUCUGACGCUGAGGCACGAAAGCUAGGGUAGCGAACGGGAUUAGAUACCCUUGUAGUC
rnacentral:rRNA from 1 species